rnacentral:misc_RNA from 1 species
AACCAUAGAAACCUGCGGAGUACCUGCGGAGGGAUCAUUACACAAUACAAUAUGAAGGCUGUCCGCAGCUGGAGUAUUUUAUUACCCUCGUCUUUUGCGCACUUGUUGUUUCCUGGGCGGGUUCGCUCGCCACCAGGACCACCAAAUAAACCUUUUUUAUGCAGUUGCAAUCAGCGUCAGUACAAACAAUGUAAAUCAUUUACAACUUUCAACAACGGAUCUCAGAUCGGAAGAGCACAC